ensembl:lncRNA
AGUGUACCUUAGCAACCAUGGAGGACGAGCUUUCCUUGAUCGAGGAAAAUGGCGAGGUCACGCAAGAACAGAAGGAACUCGUUUACAAACGGAUCGAAGAACUAAAGCAUUCCAAUGCAGCCCUCCUGGCAGAGAAUGACAUGUUUGAAAGCUUCAUUUGCCGCCUGGAUCCACAGGACCUGCUAUCCCAGGCUGGGGGAGAGGGUGCCAGGGCAGCACGAAGCUUGAAGCUGGGGGGUGGGGUAAGUACCACAAAGGAUUAUUAAAUAACCUUGAAUGCAAAUCCUUACUUGCCAUUGUAUGUCUCUUCCUAAAAGUAAAGACUGCAGAUUAAUGCUGCACACCCAACACACAUAACUACACACAGCACACUUUAUUUGUCAGAACUUGUGAAUUAAGAUGAGAUAAGAUAAGAUAAUAAUAACUUUAUUUAUCCCGAGGGAAAUUCUUUUGUCAUGUACAUGCUCAAAGCAGCAAGAGAGACAGAGGAACAGAUGAAUAAGAUAUACAAUAUAUACAAUAAGAAUAGUAGUAUACAGUAAUAUACAGUAGGAUAGUGCAAGACAUAGUAUCAAAUAACUCUAACGAAGUAACAAUAUAACUAUAUCCUGGAGAAUAAAUAACUUAACUAUCAGUGCAGCCGAUUCUAGAAAGUGACAUAGUAUUGUGCAGUU